rnacentral:rRNA from 1 species
AUGAAGCCCAGCUUGCUGGGUGGAUUAGUGGCGAACGGGUGAGUAACACGUGAGUAACCUGCCCUUAACUCUGGGAUAAGCCUGGGAAACUGGGUCUAAUACCGGAUAGGAGCGUCCACCGCAUGGUGGGUGUUGGAAAGAUUUAUCGGUUUUGGAUGGACUCGCGGCCUAUCAGCUUGUUGGUGAGGUAAUGGCUCACCAAGGCGACGACGGGUAGCCGGCCUGAGAGGGUGACCGGCCACACUGGGAC